AUAAGUGCCUAUAUCUCAUCUAUUACAAGUAGAAAGUAAUGCUUUUACUGGAUGAUUUGGAAAGCAAGGGUAGACUGUAAAAUGAGCUUACAGACAAAAUAAUUUCUCUUUGUUCUAGAAGAAGCUUGCUGUAGGCUAGACAAAGGUUCCCUUGAUAAACAAGUGGUAUAAUAAACAGCUAAACUCUUUUUCCUCCGCAGGGAGUCUCACCUCUCUUUUUAAACUGUGAGAAGUCUGCAUUGGUGUACUUAUUCCUACUGACAAAUAGCUUUUAUGUGCCUCUCUCUGGUUUUAUAUGCCAAAAUUGUCAAAUAUAAUACUACCUUCAGGACAUAGUGCUACUUGAUCAACAGAAAACAGGGCAUCGACUGACAGAAGUUUGUGGUUUGAAAAAAAUGAUUUAAAUGAGUGUGAAAAAACAUGGAGUUUACUACUGAGGAACAUCAGUCAAGAUUUACAGUGCACAAGUUGGCAAACAGUGCCCAAUUUUCCAGAGUUCUUCAGAAAGAGCUGUGAGGAAGAGAAUCUACAAAAACAAGAAGUCUUCAAAAUAGGAAUGAAAGACUUUCACUGGACAUCAUUCCCAGCCUUUCAGAAAGAACAAAAUUUUAAACCAGAAGAUUUUUGCUCCCCUCAGCUAAUAGGAACACAAAUGGAGCAUUUACAUGAAGAAUGGGACCAAGCAGAUGAACUGAAAAGUUUACCUUCUACAUCUGAGCAAACACGCAGUAAAACAGAUCCCAAAAACAUGGCUGGGGAAGACACAGGAGGUAUUUCCAAGGCAGAUGUAGAUCUCAAACCAUUUAAAGACACUCAGCAUAAAACUUCUACAUGCCACCUGGCAUUGUCACAAAGAACUGUAAAAGCUCUAAGUAUUCAACAGCAUUGCAGAGGGACUGUGCAGAACAGCAAGGAGAAGAAAAAACAAGAGAAAAGAGAGCUUCAAACACAAAUGCAUCAAAGCAGUAUUUCGUUUGGUGAGACCAGAAGCAUGCCUGCAGAAAGGAAACCUCCUCUGAUGAGCAUGGCUGGAAAUGAGAGCUGCAAGGAGAAUCCUGUACAGCAGAGUGAAGGGUCUUCAACUCUUGACAGCUGCCCAAUGUGUCUGAUUCGUUUCAGUGAAACGCUGUCACAAUUGGAUAUCGAUGGCCAUCUUGCUAGAUGCUUAUCUGAAAGCACAGAUGAUAUCACGUGGUAAAUCCAAAAUAACGGAGAGCAAAGGGACAAAGUUGAGUAUGAACCUUUCUCAAAGGAAAAGGAAAAAUGUGUCAGGGAAACAUGUCCUUGUCUCAAACUUCCUGAAAUGUCAUAGAUCGGGAACUGAAAGGGAAGGUCAAGUGCCACCUGCCUGUUGUUUGGGAUCAUUUUAAAUCCUCUUGUAUGUAACCAAAAUAGCUGAGACAAGCACAUACAACUGCCUUCACAGAACGUGAAAAAGAGCACAACAAAGCAGUAUCUGAAGUUCUCUGUCUCAGCAAACCCUUUUUCUGGACCUCAAGAGCCUGCAGGACAGAUGUGAGUCAAGUACAUGGAAUAAACAGACUACGGUAUUGAGAUACAGGCAUAAUUCUGUAGGUUUUUUAAUUUACAAUAAGGUCGCUUUAAAAAGUGCAAGUUGGACAUAGCUCAGUUUACUGAUAAAUAAUAACAAUUAUCUUUUUCAUUAAAGUCUUUAAUAGAUGUGCAAGAAUAUAAAUGAUCUUAGCUGUUAUGGAUUAGUAUACCAUCUUCUGCACAAAUAAAACUGGUCAAAGAUCCCAACUAAUUAAUUAUACAAAACUACAAGAACAUAUUUACUGUUUUACAAUCAUUAUAUUAGCUAGAAUUUUCAUUUACUAUUUCAAAUAAGACAACUAUAUAUCAUAACCAGAUCCAUUUGUAAUAUAUUAGGAUUUUUUUUUUAAACCACACAUUUAAUUACAUCCUUCAUUUUCUUUUAUUUAUAAAACAAGUACUUUAUAUAAAAAAAUUUCCCCUUCAUUAUCAACAGAACAUUAUUCAUACACUUGCACGUGAGCAACCAAACUUGUAUCCAGCAAACUAUUUGGCAACACAACAACAUUGUAAAUGCCUGUAAGUUUUUUAAAUAAAUCAAGUAUUCUUUACAAUGUUUGUUCAGCA